rnacentral:rRNA from 1 species
AUGGACGCCGGCGUGGGUCUCCGGCCGAGGCCCCGUGCAGCAUGGGCCGGACGACGGAAGCCGCAGGGAUUCCCUCCGGCGACAGUGCCGGCGGCGAGGCUUGAUCAGAAUCCGGCGCGGCGGCCGCUGGUCCUGCGCCCCGAUGCCAUCCGUGGCGCCAGCCUCAAGGGCCUGUGCUGCCACAAAUCGGCAGGAGACACGAGUAACCAAGGUACUGAGAAAGUCCACUAUUCUGCUGAUGAUGCUCUCCUACUAAAGCAAAAAGCAGAGGACGUGCUCCCUUACCUGAAUGACCGAUGUGUUUAUCUAGUUGGAAUGAUGGGUUCCGGCAAAACUACAGUUGGGAAGAUAAUAGCUGAAGUACUAGGCUAUUCAUUCUUUGACAGUGAUAAGCUGGUUGAGCAGUCUGUUGGCAUACCGUCGGUCGCUGAGAUUUUUCAGGUCCACAGUGAAGCAUUCUUCAGAGAUAACGAGAGUGAGGUACUAAGGGAUUUGUCGUCAAUGCACCGAUUAAUUGUUGCAACAGGAGGUGGUGCGGUGAUACGACCAAUCAAUUGGAGUUAUAUGAAGAAAGGACUCACUAUUUGGUUGGAUGUUCCAUUGGAUGCCCUUGCAAGAAGGAUUGCUGCGGUGGGUACUGCAUCACGACCCCUCCUGCAUCAGGAAUCUGGUGAUCCUUAUGCAAAGGCCUAUGCCAAACUUACAGCACUUUUUGAACAAAGAAUGGACUCAUAUGCUAAUGCUGAUGCUCGAGUUUCCCUUGAGAAUAUUGCAUUCAAACAAGGACAUAAUGAUGUGAAUGUACUUACACCAAGUGCCAUCGCUAUUGAGGCAUUGCUAAAGAUGGAGAGCUUUCUUACUGAGAAGGCCAUGGUCAGAAACUGA